AAUAGUUUGAGAAGAAUAGGCAUUAAGCCUUUAAAUGUUUGGUAGAAUUUACCUGUGAAGCUCUCUGGUCCUUUGUUGUUGUUGGGAGUUGUUGCUGUUUUGGCAGUGCCAUGGCUUGCAGAAGUUACCAGGCCAGGGAUUGAACCCACACUACAGCAGCUACCCUAGCCACAACAGUGACAACACCGUAUCCUUUACCUGCUGGGCCAUCAGUAAAUACUUAUUUAUUUAUUGUCUUUUUAGGGCCACACCUGUGGCAUAUGGAAGGUCCCAGGCUAGGGGUUGAAUUGGAGCUGUAACUGCCAGCCUAUACCACAGCCCCAGCAACUUGGGAUCCAAACUGCAUCUUCGACCUACACCACAGCUCUUGGCAAUGCCAGAUACUUAACCCACUGAGCAAGGUCAGGGAUCAAAUCCAUGUCCCCAUGGAUACUAGUUGGGUUUGUUACUGCUGAGACGCGAUGGGAACUCCUAUCAGUAAAUUUUUAAAUUUACUGAUUCAACUUCAGUGAUGGUAAUUAGUCUGUUCAUAUUUUCCAUUUCUUCCUGAUUCUGUCUUGGGAGAUAGUACAUUUCUGGAAUUUUUUCAUUUCUUGUGGGUUGUUGUUUUAUUAGUGUAUAAAUGUUUGUAGUAAUCUCAUGAUUGUCUAUUUAAAAAAAUUUUAUUGGAGUAUAGUUAACUUAUGGAAUAUAGGUUUUUUUUUUUUUUUUUCCCUUGACCAUGCCCAUGGCAUAAGGAAGUUUCCAAGCUAGGGGUUGAAUCUGAGCUACAGCUGCCAGCUGCCACAGCAAUGUGGGAUCCAAGCCACGUCUUCAACCUAACCACAGCUCACAGCAAAGCUGGAUCCCUGACCCACUGAGUGAGGCCAUGGAUUGAACCCACAUCCUCAUGGAUAUUAGUUUCCGCUGCACCACAGUGGGACCUCCUCUCUCUUUUUUUCUUGAAGAGUUUGGUUGAAGCUGUAUCAAUUUGGUUUACUUAGUUCACUGAUCAUUUUAAUUUUAUUUUUAAUCUGUUUCAUUUAUUUUUAAUCUCUGUUUCAUUUUAAUCUUUAUUUUUUUUAUUUUUUGUCUUUUCUAGGGCCGCUUCCCACGGCACUUGGAGGUUCCCAGGCUAUGGGUCUAAUCAGAGCUGUAGCUGCCGGCCUACACCACAGCCACGGUAACGUGGGAUCCAAGCUGCGUCUGCAACCUACACCACAGCUCAGGGCAACGCCGGGUCAUUAACCCACUGAGCAAGGCCAGGGAUCAAACCCACAACCUCAUGGUUCCUAGUCGGAUUCAUUAACCACUGAGCCACGAUGGGAAUUCCUUAAUCUUUAUUUUUAAUCUCUGUUUCAUUUCAAUUUCGUUUACUUAAUUCAUGGAUCAUUUUAACUUUAUUUUUAAUCUCUGUUUCAUUUAUUUCCUCUCUGAUCCUUAUUAUUUAUUUCCUCCUCCUGAGUUUGGAUUUUGCUUUUCCUUUUUCUAUUUCCUUUAGGUGUUAGAUUAGAUAGUUAAUUUGAGAUGUUUCUUGUUUUCUGAGAUAGACCUGUAUUGCUCUAAACUUCUCUCUCAGAGAGUUCCCUUGUAGCUCAUGGGGUUAAGGAUCCAGCAUUGUUACUGCUAUGGCUCACUCAGGUUGCUGCUAUGGCGGGGGUUUGAUUCCUAGCCCUAGAACUCCCACAUGCCAUGGCCAGAGCUGAAAAGAAGAAAUAAAUAAACUUUUCUCUCAGAACUUCUUUUGCUGUAUCACAAUAUAUUUUGAAUCUUUGUUUUUCCAUUCUCAUUUGCCUUCAUGUAUUUUCAAUUUUUUCCCUUGAUUUCUUUAGUAACCCAUUGGUUGUUUAGUAGCAUAUUGUUUACCUCCACAUUUGUGUUUUUGCAGUUCCCUCUUUUUUUUUUUUGUUUUUUUUGUCUUUUUAGGGCCACACCAGCGGCAUAUGGAGGUUCCCAGGCUAGGGGUCCAAUUGGCGCGGUAGCCUCUGGCUACACCAGAACCACAGCAACUCGGGAUCUGAGCUGCGUCUGCAACCUACAGCACAGCUCACGGCAACACCAGAUCCUUAACCCCCUGAGUGAGGUCAGGGUUCGAACCCCCGUCCUCAUGGAUGCUAGUUGGGUUCGUUAACCGCUGAGCCACAAUGGGAACUCCCUCUUCUUUUUUUCUUGUAGUUGAUUUCUAGUCUCAUACCAUUGUGGUGAGAAAAGAUCCCUGAUGUGAUUUAAAUCUUCUGAAGUUUGUUGAGACUUGUUUUGAUAAUUACUUUGAACUUUUUAUGGCGUAGAUUGCUUAUUUCUGCUUCAUUUAGUUCUUUUUGUGAGGUUUCUUUUUCCUUAUUUGGAACAUUUUCCUCUGUCUUUUCAUUUUGCCUGAUUCUCUGUGUUUAUUUCUACAUAUUAGGUAGGUUGUUUACACUUUCCGAUCUUGGGGAAAUGACCUUAUAUAGGAGAUGUCCUUUGAGGCCCAGCAACACACUCCUUUCUGAUCACCAGAGCUGUAAGCUCUAGAGAUGCUCCCUGUGUGGGCUAGAUGAGGCCAUUUUGUUAUUGUGGACUGACUACUGGUGGGUGGGGCUGGCUCUAGGCCCAAAACUGACACAAGGCCUUGCCUCUUGUGUUGUCUGCCAGCCCACUGGAGGGCGGGGCUGGAUCCUGUCCUGGCUAGCUCUGCAGCCCAAGGGUCCCCUGGUUGGUGCUGGCCUGCUGGUGUGGGCAAGGCUGUGUCUUAGAACGUCUGGCUGUGUGGCUCAGGGGGUCCCAAAGCUGGUGCUGGCUCACUGGGCAGGGCUGUGUCCUGGGGCUGGUGCUUGCCUGCUGGUUGGUGAGUAAGUCCCUGUACUAAUAGGAUAGAGGGAGGACUCCAAAAUAGGAAUUGUCAGCACCAGUAUCCUGUGGUAGAACAAGCUUCAAAAAUUGGCUGUUGCCAGUGUUUGUGUUUCCAGGAUGAGCUCUGGUUAUCUUCUGCUUCUCCACAAGGCUCUCCAAGAUCAGCAAGUAGGUCUGACCCAGGCUUCUUUGAAAUUACUGUCUCUGAACUGGAAAUCAGAGCGUGUGAGAGUUUUCACACACCGUUUAAGAGCAGAGUCUCUGUUUCUACAGUCUCCUGCCUCUUUCCUUUGUAAGCCCCACUAGCCAUCAAAGCCAGAUAUUCUUGGGGACCCAUCUUCCUGAUUUGGCUGAGGAGCUCAUGUGGGCUCAGACCCCUCCCUUCUUAGAGAGAAUCUCUGUAAUUCUACUUAUCCUCCCACCUGCCUGGGAGUGUGUCUUGACUGUACUCUGCCUUUCUACCCAUCUGUUGUGGUUCCUUAUUUAUACUUUUAGUUAUGUAAAACCUUUUCUGCUAGUCUUUAGGUCAUUCUCAUAGAUAGUUGUUUUGUAAAUAGUUGUAAUGUUUAUGUGCCCACGGGAGGAGGUGAGCUCAGGUUCUUCUUACUUCAACAUCUUGGCUACACCUCCAUACUGUACUCUUUGGAGUAUAUUUCUUUUAUAUUGGUAUGGACUCAUAGAUAUUUAUUUUAUACUUUAGGUUAUAAUCCAAUAUUAUUAUUAUUAUUUUUUAAGGCUGCACCCACAGCAUAUGGAGGUUCCCAGGCUAGGGGUUCAAUCCAGAACUGUAGUUGCUGGCCUACAUCACAACCACAGCAACACUAGAUCCGAUCCUCGUCUGUGACUUACACCACAGCUCACAGCAGCGCCAGAUCCUUAACCCACUGAGUGAGUCCAGGGAUCGAACCUGCGUCCUCUUGGAUGCUAGUCAGAUUUGUUUCCACUGAGCCAUGACAGCAGCUCCUACACUUUAAAAAAAUUUUUUGGGAGGGAAUUUUUUCCUUCUCAAAUUAUUUUAGGUUUAGCCAUGAGGAACUCCUUUGAUUGUUUCCUAUGUCACUUUGAUCUACCUCUAUCAAUUUAAGAUUUUUGUUUUGGUUUGGUUUUAGCAUUAACUUACCUUCUGACAUUAUCAGAUGCUCCAACCUCUUCUUAUAUAUUUCCUGUUCCAGGCCCAGAAAUAGCCAUUUCUCAGCUGAUAGAACAAGUUAAUAAUACGAGUGUAUAAUAGACACAUAUCUAUAAAUAUUUUUAGAUGUAACCAUAGCUGAACCCAAGUUCAUAUCCCAACUCUAAUCCAUAUGGAUAAUUUUAGCCUUUUUCUCCUUAUCUGUAACCUCCCUUUCCAAAAGUGAGAAGCCUUGUACCAUCUUCCAUUCAUUUACUUAAUUGUGCAAUUACCAUAUACAUGUAUAGUGUUUUCAGGUUGUUAACUUGUACACCUGUGCAAACAGCUUUACUAGCUAGAAUGCAGCAGUAAUGUAUAGUUAGUUCCUUGUGUUUUUAGUCUUACAGACUGUACUCUUUUCUAGAGUUAUUUAGAUCAGUUACUUUAUCCUCUGUCCCCUUCAGUGAGAUUGUUUAAUACAUUUGUAUCUUUUUAUUAUGGAAGAUUUCAAACAUGUACAAAAGAAAGAAGAGUAUAUUGAACCCACAUGUACCCAUCACCAGCUUCAUCAAUUAUUGUUAAAACACAUGGUCAUUUGCGUUUCAUCUGUCCUUCCCCCUACUCCCUGCUACUCAGACCAUAAUUAUUUUGAAGGAAAUCCCAUAAAUGUUAUUUCAGCUGUAAAUAUUCCCAAAUGAGACUUACUGUAAUUUAAUCAAUCCCCUAUUGAUAGACAUUUAUUAUAGUACUAGCUGUAAAUAUCCUUUUACAUUAUCUUUGCAAGCUGUAGGGUAAAUUUCUAGAGGUUGAAAUAAAGGGUAUAAAUAUAAACUUUUUUCUUUUGAUUUUUAGGGCCGCACCCAUGGCAUAUGGAAGUUCCUAGACUAGGGGUCAAAUCUGAGCUGCCAGGCUAUGCCACAGCCAUAGCAACGUGGGAUCCGAGCUGCUUCUGUGACCUUCACCACAGCUCACGGCAAUGAUGGAUCCUUCACCCACUGACCGAGGCCAGGGAUUGAACCUGCAUCCUCAUGGAUACUAGUUGGAUUUGUUUCCACUGUUCCACAAUGGGAACCCCAAAAUAAACAUUUUAAAUUGAGAAAUACUACCAAGUAAAUUUUAUUUCUACCAAGGGUGAGUGAGAAUUUACCCCUCUCCUCACCUAUUCUGAUUUUCCCAACUUUUAAAUAUUUGGCAUUCUGAGAUGUGAAAAGUGAUAUGUAUUUUUAUUUUGCAUUUCUUUAAUUAUGGAUAAGAUAGGACAUUUUCCCUGUCUUUAUUGACUAUUUUUUUUUCCUUCUGUGAACUGCGCAUUUAAAUUUUUUGUCUCAAGGAGUUCAGGCUGUUUUGCAAUGGGAUUGGUGGCGUCCUGGGAGGGCUGAGAUGCAGAUUUGAUCCCUUGCCUGGCACAGCAGGUUAAAGAUCUGGCAUUGAUGAAGCUUCGGCAAAUGUUGCAGCUGCGGCUCCGAUCUGAUCUCUCGCCUGAACUCCAUGUGUUGUGUGGUAGCCAAAAAAAAAAAAAAAAGAAAAA
ensembl:lncRNA